rnacentral:rRNA from 1 species
AAUCAACGCUGGCGGCGUGCCUAACACAUGCAAGUCGCACGAGAAAGUGGAGCAAUCCAUGAGUACAGUGGCGCACGGGUGAGUAACACGUGAAUGAUCUACCUCCGAGUGGGGAAUAACUGAGAGAAAUCUUAGCUAAUACCGCAUAAUACCCACGGGUCAAAGCAGCAAUGCGCUUGGAGAGGAGUUCGCGGCCGAUUAGCUAGUUGGCGGGGUAAUGGCCCACCAAGGCGAUGAUCGGUAUCCGGCCUGAGAGGGCGCACGGACACACUGGAAC